rnacentral:rRNA from 1 species
AUUGAACGCUGGCGGCAUGCUUUACACAUGCAAGUCGAACGGCAGCGCGGGGGCAACCCUGGCGGCGAGUGGCGAACGGGUGAGUAAUGUAUCGGAACGUAUCCUGUAAUGGGGGAUAACCAGUCGAAAGAUUGGGUAAUACCGCAUACGCACGAGAGUGGAAAGUAGGGGAUCGCAAGACCUUACGUUAUAGGAGCGGCCGAUAUCUGAUUAGCUAGUUGGUGGGGUAAAGGCCUACCAAGGCGACGAUCAGUAGCUGGUCUGAGAGGAUGAUCAGCCACACUGGAACUGAGACACGGUCCAGACUCCUACGGGAGGCAGCAGUAGGGAAUAUUGGACAAUGGGCGCAAGCCUGAUCCAGCCAUGCCGCGUGAGUGAAGAAGGCCCUCGGGUUGUAAAGCUCUUUUGUCCGGAAAGAAAAGCGCCGGGUUAAUACCCUGGUGUCCUGACGGUACCGGAAGAAUAAGCACCGGCUAACUACGUGCCAGCAGCCGCGGUAA